UGAUGCUGUAUCCUGAAAUCAAGAGGAAAUACCCAAGAAUUCAACCACUGACCAACUUUGCAUUGGGAAAUGGCUUCCUGAGAGACAACACAUUUGAAAUAAGCACUGCAGUGGGCUGUGGCGUCCACAGGGGCCCUGGAGCAUUUGGAUGCAUUAAGAAGCUGUUUGUGUCCUCCUGGCCAAAAUGAUGGGUCCCUGGAAGCAGCAGGUAACAAGGCACGAUUUUUCAGCUCGCUGUUUAUUUACCUUCACCACGUGAUACUUGGUUUGCUUUUAAAAUGCUUCUGCUGUGGCUGCCCUUUGGCUGACUUAGGGCGAGGGGGAUGCUGGGGGAGGCUGUCUGGCAGAAGCCAGAGGUAGGCGGGAGAAGGUGGAGUUGAGGGCAGCGGCGCCAUUCAUCCCUCUUCCAUUUUGCCCUUCACUCGCCUCCUCCUGGAUGCUGAUGAGCUCCUUCUUCCUCCCCUUCCCCCCAUCCUCCACCGCUUCAGCACAACCUGGGCAGCUUGAAAGGCAACAGAAAGACGCAGUUAAUGGCUUUUCUUCAUGGUGAAAACAGAAGCAGCCUAAAUAGAGAAUGUGACAGGGGCAAGAUGAGAGUUUCUGCUUUUCAUUCACAUCCCCUCCCGGCGUGCUUUGUUAUUCUCACCUAGCAAAUGGCCAUCCCCUCAGUGAACGUUAGGUGUAAUGUGGUGACUACUAUAGAGAAAUGUGCAAACAGCACAGUGACACAGCUUCAGUGUUCCUCAGAACUGUGGGCUUCUCCCUGUUCCAGAGAAAGGCUGCACUUCCAACUCCUUCCAGGCUUCCACCCAGUAUUUGCCACCAGCACAAUUCUUUGAAAGUGAAGUGCCCUCACAAUUUGCUGACCUGGUGACACUACUGUUAGCACAGUAUUUGGUGACACAGGUUCAUCAGGAGUAAUGGCUGCAGAAACAUUUAGCGAGACACAGAGCCUGCAGUCUGAUAAAGUCAUCCCUUUGGGCCACAGGUCACUUACACAGGAGCAGCAUGAGGGACACAAAAAGGAUCUGUAAAGCAGUACUUUUCCCACUGUUUUAUUCCUCCCUUAGC
rnacentral:lncRNA from 14 species